AUUGAACGCUGGCGGCAGGCUUAACACAUGCAAGUCGAACGAGUGGCGGACGGGUGAGUAAUGUCUGGGAAUCUAGCUUAUGGAGGGGGAUAACUACGGGAAACUGUAGCUAAUACCGCAUACCAUCGGAUGAGCCCACGUGGGAUUAGCUAGUUGGUGGGGUAACGGCUCACCUAGCCGACGAUCCCUAGCUGGUCUGAGAGGAUGACCAGCCACACUGGGACUGAGACACGGUCCAGACUCCUACGGGAGGCAGCAGUGGGGAAUAUUGCGCAAUGGGGGCAAGCCUGACGCAGCCAUGCCGCGUGAAUGAAGAAGGCCUUCGGGUUGUAAAGUUCUUUCGGUAGCGAGGCGUUAACUACAGAAGAAGCACCGGCUAACUCCGUGCCAGCAGCCGCGGUAAUAC
rnacentral:rRNA from 1 species